AGAGGAAGAAAAUACAAAACAAGAGCUCUGAAUAUCUCUAGCUCACAAGAUGAUUAUAUUUAUUACUCUGUCAUGAUAAAACAACACUCUGAGAACACAGUGGUUUUGUAUUUGUUUACAUAGUGAGUCAUUCUCUCAGUGUCUUGUCAUUACUGGGUGCUAGUAAAACUGUGUCUGGGUGCUCAGAGUAAAAUGAGCAAGGAUCUCUAUUAGAAGACGAUUCACCAUGACCAGAUCCAAGGCAAUCUUCUACUGAUAACUGCAAUUUUAAAGGCAAAAUAUUAUUUUCCAAGUUUAUUUGAGGGAAGCAACAGACCUUAUUAGGUAUCUUCAUCUGGAGUCUUAGGUGAAAAGAUCAGUUUUCCAUCAAUGAGAAGAAAUCCCUUUCCCAGGUGGAUAUUAUAUCCCCUUUGACAGGCACCCGAACACUGACACUGAGUGAUCAGGUACAGCAAGACUCUCCAACACAGCAGAGACAGGUGUUUACAAAAGAGUAGAAAAUGGAAGUGGGUUCUUAAAAUUAGGAGGAGAUAGCUGUAAGAAAGAAAACAAUGGCCCAAAUGCCCCAUGGGAUUUAAUGCUGCAUAGAGGUUACGUUAGCCACAUGCACAUCCUGAGGAAGAGGCUUUGGAUAAGUCUGCCUGAACCAGUGCUGCCAAGAGUGGAAGGGAUGGGAGAAGAUGCUUCUCCAAAGGAAGUAAGAGAAAGAGGACUGCGUGCUUAAAAAACAAACCUAUAGCUGUCUUUUCACAGUGUUUAUCAGAACGUGUUUCAAUUUUCUAUCUUCCUCACUAAAGCCAAGCCCGAUGUGUCACAUCCUUAUGUCCCUUCAUCAUUUACUCAUCUAGCUCAUAUUUUUUUUUUUUUGAGAAUUUUCUCUAUAAUGGGAACUUUACUAAAUCCUGAAGACACAAUGAUGGAUAAGGUAAACGGGUUUUCUGGCCUCAUAGAACCUACAGUCUAUGGUUGAGAUAGACAAGAAAAAAAAUGUAAGUUUUAUGAAAGGAGAAAUACAAAGUUCUAAGAUCCUAGAGAAGCCUAGAACAGAGAGCCUUAAUGUACAUGAGGGAAUCAGGAAGGCUCUCUCAAUUAAGGGAGAGUUACAGACAUAAUUGUAGAUAUAGAGCUUAAUAAAUGCUCCUUAAAUGAGAAAAUAAAUAACUACUUUGGGGGCUAUUUUAAUUGGUUAGAAUGAUAUCUCAUGAUGUAGGUCUUUUCAUUUGGCAGAAUACCCACACAUUAAUUUCCUCACACACCAUGUACUCUCUCUCUCUACAUAUAUAUCUAUGUGUAUAACUGUAGAUAUACAUAUAUGCACAAUAUACUAUCCAUCUAUUUACCUUCCCUUAUAAACUUUUGAGGAAUAUGUACACUUUUGAGGAAGUUUAAAAGACCAAGAAGGUAAGAGUUGCCCGGGAGGAAAGAGACGCUAUGUCUUGCAAGCCUGGUGAAAUGAGCAGGGGUUGCAUCAAAAAGGAUCAUGUUGCAAAGCCAAUGGUUUAAGAUACCAGGAGCCCCUGGAAGGUUUUAAUCUAGGAAACAUCUUUGCUUUUUGGAAAGUUCCCUUGGCUACAGCAUGAAGAAUGAAUUGCAAGGGAGUAGGUAUUAGGAGUGGAAACCAUGAGACCAGUUAGUCUCUAAACAGAGUCCUCCUAAAUGAAUGAAUAAAGGGUCACUUUUGGCCACAUCGUUUAUGAUGGAUUAUAAGUGAUAAAAGUGUUAGUUUAUUUAUGGUUUUCAUUUUGUAACACACUUUCACAUUUAUCCCCUCGCUUUCGGUGGAUUGGUCAUGUCAAGGGGCACAGCCUAAGCCACGUGCUCAAAGCCACAAGACUAGUAAUGGGCAGGUCUCUGACUUCUCAUCUGGGGUUCAAAGGGACAUGGGAACUAAAUCCAUCACUCAUCAUCAUUUCUUUCUGUGGAAGGUGGCAGCUUGAAAGAGCACAACUUGGAACACUUCCUCUGCUAUUGAUUUGCAGUAUAACCUUUGUAAGUCAUGUCCCAGAGAAUUUUUGCUCCCUCCCAUCUGUAAAGGGGGUGCUAAUAAAAUUUUCUGUGCUUUCACUCAGUGGGAUAAUUAUACUAAUCAGAUGAGAAACUGUGUGUGCAAGUGCUUUGUGAAUUCAUUCAUUCAUUAAAAUGUAUUAAGGGUCUGUUAUAUGCCAGGAAGUAAACCACAUAUUGGGGAUAUACAUACAAAUGAGACACAAAAUCUCUCACCUGGCUAAACAAAACAAAGGCAAAUGAUAAUUAGAACAUGGCAUGGAAGUCGUUAUAAAGGUUAAGGAUGCUGUGGUAGGCACCAGGCGGAAUCCUCAGUUCGUGUGGGGAUGAGGCAUUAUCAGAAAGAGAGGCUUACAUGCAGAGAUAGUCGAAUUUAAAUGAACACACCACUCCUAAUAUUUCGUUUUCCAGUAAUAUUUUCAAUUAUUAUUCUUGCUAUUUUAUUGUGAACUGGUAUUAAAGUAUGUGCUAUCACUGUUUUAUUAUUAGCCACAUGAAAGAGGGCCAUUAAAAAGUCUGUUUAGAUUAUUUCAGCACAUAGGUAUGGGGAGACUUCCCGGGAAUGUGUCUGCAGACUCCUCUGCAGAUGGUUCCCAGCAAGAGGGUAAAUUCCUUUCCAGAGGGAACCAAAAUGCAGCAGCUGGCAUUUCUGAUACUCGCAUACCUGUCAAUUUUUACCCCAAAUCUACUUCCUCUGUGUACAUGCUAUAAAUCACCUGGAUUUUAUUAGGGAGACAUUAUGCUUCUUAACAAGGUAACACCUUCAGGAGGUGAGACUGUUUGCCUCUGCCACGAGUAAAUGACAUUUAAAAAAUGUUCUCUGAGAUGGUGCAGAGGUAAGAUCAAAUGGAUUGAAAUACAUGGCAGCGAGCUCUUUUCUUCUUUUAUGAACCAGAUCUUGUUAUUAUUUGUGUGUGUGUGUGUGUGUGUGUGUGACCCUCUUGCUUACAUGUGGGCUCUGAAAGACUGUAAACUUGAAAUCAGUGAAGCCACAAGUGGUAUAGUCUACUUUCAAAAGCAAGUAUUAGUUUGCUUGCUUGACCACCCAGAUCUCCUUUUCCUUUAUGUUUUCUUUCCUUUCUUUCCUUCUUUCUUUUUUUAUGGCAGAGCUUAUAAGAAUAAGGACAAACUAAGAAAAAGAAAACUUAGAUUAAAGCAACCUGUUAUCAUAUGAUUAAAUGAAAGAAAAAGUAUUUUUAAAAAAGUAAUACACGCUGGAAGUUAAAGCCAGUGGGUCUACCAAAAGACCUCCACAGAAAGUAUAGGAACUAAUAAAUAAAAUCAGGAAAGUUGCAGGAUAAAAAAAAAAUCAAUAGACAAAAUCAGUUGCAUUUCUAUACACAGAAAGAGAAAUUUAAAAAUCAGUCACAUUUAUUAACCUCAAGCUCCCA